UCUUGGAAGUGAUUAUGGUAAGUGAGAGCUUUGUUUCUUGGUAUAUCUUGUUAAAAAUCUGUUUUUUUCUUAUGUUGGAAGUGAUUAUGGAAAGUGGGGUUUUUUCUUUCUUUCUAUAUCUUGUUAAAGAUCUAAUCUUUUUUUUGGGGGGGUAUUGUAGCCAUUUUAGUGCAUAGAUGGUUGCCAGGUUCAAGAAAUUUGAAGAAAUCAGUGCAUUUG
rnacentral:misc_RNA from 1 species